GAGGUCGGCGUCCUUUGACAGCAACUCCGCGGCCUUCUGGAACAUCUGGGGGCCGCAGAUCUGGAGGCCGGUGAUCUCCUUCCCCUUGAGCUGCCCCGGCAGCUUCGGCUCCUUGGCCCACGCGAACAAGGUCUUAAGCUGCUCCUCGGAGAGCAGCGUGCAUCGGCCUCGG
rnacentral:SRP_RNA from 13 species